CUGAAUAUAUAUGAACAAGUGUAAGGUCAUUCAUAGUUCUUUACAAGUCAGUCAGAGCACAGCAACUUCUUUUUCUGACACGUACAUUGCUGAGCUCAUAAUGGCUGGAUUCUUAACACUCCCAGGCACUACCAAAGUUGAUUUCCAGCUUUCCUACUCAAGGGAAAAAAAAGCAGUUACAUCAUUACCAUCUAUUCUUAAAUAUUGCAGUUAUGUAUCCUUCAGUCCACAAAAUAUACCGUAUGUUUUUGGUCACGUUCUAGAAGUACAAAUUUUAAGAGUUUAAGGCUUCCAUUUUCAAAACAAAGACUGAAAAAGAAAAGAAGGAAUGCCUGAGGUGCUGCUUUAAUUCUGAAAACCUACAGAAGAAUGAAGCUUUUACAAUGACAGGCUAUGUAACUAUGCUUUUACAAGUAACAGGAUCUAGAGGUGUGCUUUUCAUCGUAUAUAUUGCAUUCUACACAUGAACAUGAAGACAUUUGCUGAAAAAGAGUAAUUUACUAGAAAAAAGACCAUGAGAGCUCCAAGGAAUUAAUGUGAAGGGCAGAACUUCAAGGAUUUUUCAAAGCAGGAUUAAUUUCAGCAUGCAACAAAGGACUCAUAAGUAAAGGAGGUUACAUGACUCAGAAAAUGUCACAUUGCUGCUUAGUAGCAAAGACAGAAGUAAAAUCCAGCUCUUCAAAACUUCAAGCUCCUUGUCAAAAUAAUCAUUUAUCCCCCACUAAGAGGAAAAGAAUAAGAAUAGAAAAAAAGGAAGAAUAAAAUAAACAAACAAAAAAAUCAAGCAUUAAAAAUCUAGGCAGUAACAAAAGCCUUGACUGAAGACACGACUUCAUUCAGCACUUUUGAUUUACAACACAAAAUUUGUCCCAUAUCUGUAAAUAAAGACAUGGAUUUGCAUCAAUUUACAAAAUUACAAUUUCUCAAACAUAAUUUAUUAUGCAGUCCCUUGCCUUUGGUCUUGAGCAUUGUACAAAACAGAUGUCCCUCAUUUUUAGGGUUCUACAUACUGACAUGUAGAUGUCAGCACAUCGAGUCAUAGGGAAUUAAUAGCAAAUUAACUGUUGAUGUAUAUUAAAAUUUGUUCUUUUUGAACACGUUGAAGUAUUGGGGAAAAUGGGAGAUGAGUUAUCUACAGAAAGUUUUACACUGGUUUGUCCUGAACGCUUACAACCAAGUUACCUGUUGAUAUAAAUAGGAAAUAUCUGCUGACUUUAGCACAGUUGAGUAUUUAUAAAUAUUAAAUUAUAAAAAGAGCUGUUUUUACAAGCAGAAACUGUGAUUCUUAGUCUCACAACUCCUUCAAUCUCUUGUUCAUAGGAUUUACUUACUCCAGAUUGAAAAAGCACAAUCACUCAGACAAUCUGAUUAUUCUAAGCUGUUCCAAUUAUGCAGUCACUUGAUUUCAAGCAUGAAUAGUCUGAAUAUGAUAUAAGAAAAGCGCUGGAAUGAAAAUAGUUGCUGACAGGCUCACACCUAUGGGAAACAGGAAACAUUUCUAAUGUUUGGGAGUACUGUCAUGAAACAGCCACUCAGGUCUCCAGAGCCUCUUUCAGGAUUCCAGGAAAAUAUUAGAUAGCUCAGAGUUCCUGUUCUCCAAGGUGCUUAUCAGAAGAAAUUCAUUCAAACUCAAACACCCUGGUAAACAAGCAGGCAAGCAGAAACUCUUGUAUCUAACAGAUACAAGUCCUCAAGGUACUACAAUGUAGGUGAGUGUGUUGUGUAUCUCAAAACUAUUAAAUUUAGCAUAGAUGUAUUCUCCAUUGUAAUAGAAUGCUCAAUUACAACCUUUUCACAACGCAGUGAAUAUGUUCAAAGAACACAUAUCAUGCAUAUUUAUUUUACAUAAUUAUCAAUAUCAAAUAUCUGUCAUUUAAAAACCUGCUGCAGCUAACCAACCAUAGCACUUAACUGUAUUACCGUAAAUUCCUUACUACCUCAGACACU